rnacentral:rRNA from 1 species
GAUGAACGCUGGCGGCGUGCCUAAUACAUGCAAGUCGAGCGAACAGACGAUAAGCUUGCUUCUCUGACGUUAGCGGCGGACGGGUGAGUAACACGUGGAUAACCUACCUAUAAGACUGGGAUAACUUCGGGAAACCGGAGCUAAUACCGGAUGAUAUUUUGAACCGCAUGGUUCAAUAGUGAAAGACGGUCUUGCUGUCACUUAUAGAUGGAUCCGCGCUGCAUUAGCUAGUUGGUAAGGUAACGGCUUACCAAGGCAACGAUGCAUAGCCGACCUGAGAGGCGGGUCGCCCGCCAGGGAACUUGACCGGCGUCCAGGCUCCUGAGGGAGGGAGCAGAGGGGGACGGUCGGCAAUAGGGGAAAACCUGGCAGAACAACCGCGAGUGAGAUGUGGAAGUCUUCGGAUCGGAAAAAUGUGUUAUUGGGGAAAAACAGAUGUGGAAGGUAAUGAGGACAGCGUGACGGUAACUAAUAAAGAAGCAACGGCUAACUACGUG